GGACGCGCCCGCGCCCCCGCGGCUGGAGGGUGGUCGCCACUGGGACACGGUGAACCAGGAGUGAGUCGGAGCUGCCGCGCUGCCCAGGCAUGGACUGUGAGGUCAGCAAUGGUUCCGGCCUCAGGGAUGAGUGCAUCACAAACCUACUGGUGUUUGGCUUCCUCCAAAGCUGCUCUGACAACAGCUUCCGCAGAGAGCUGGAUGCGCUGGGCCGCGAGCUGCCAGUGCUGGCUCCCCAGUGGGAGGGCUACGAUGAGCUGCAGACUGACGGCAACCGCAGCAGCCACUCCCGCUUGGGAAGAAUAGAGGCAGGGGCGUCAGACAAUAACACAGCAAGUGCUGAGGAAGAAACAGGUGGCAGGGAGUGUGGAGUGUGGCAGUUGAGCGUGGCCUUCGUGGAGCUGCGACAGUGGUACUCGGGCAGGGGCAGCACGGAGGCUGUGCGCCGGAGGAGGAGAACUGAGGGGGCAAGGAGGAGAGCUCUGGUUGGAAAGGCAGGGGAGAUUCUCCAGGGCCUUGCCAGUGCCAGUGACAGCUGGGGUUUUCCUGAGACGGGACUGCGAGGAAUGGGGGCUCUCAGGCUGGAGAGGGCGAAGGUGGGUCUGGGACACCGACUGCCCACAGGGCCCCUUCCCCAACGGCUGCCCAGGCCAAGGCCAACCCUGUUGGGUUGUGUGGUGUGAGCCAUGAAGCUGCUACCAGGCUUGUACCUCAGGCGUGGUCGUUGACGCCCCAGCUUCACUGGCCCUGCCUGUGGGGACGUGGUGCCCGUGUGCAGGAGCCUGGGCCUCAGCCAAGGCCCUGAGCUCUGGCACUGCCCAGAACCCAGCUCAGCGCUGGUACCCAGCCCACCCACCGUGGCCCUGGUGGAGUGGAGCACGUGCCCAGUGGGGGCCGGCCUUGUCCCAUUGCGGAUCUGUCCUUUCCCGGGGCAGGGUGGUGUGGGAGAGGGUAUCAGGGCCAUUUUCUGAGUCUGCUCUGUCUCUGCCGCCCCUGCCUGAACACACAGAUUCUGAAAGUCAAGAAGACAUCAUCCGGAACAUUGCCAGGCACCUCGCCCAGGUCGGGGACAGCAUGGACCGUAGCAUCCCUCCGGGCCUGGUGAACGGCCUGGCCCUGCAGCUCAGGAACACCAGCCGGUCAGAGGAGGACCGGAACAGGGACCUGGCCACUGCCCUGGAGCAGCUGCUGCAGGCCUACCCUACAGACAUGGAGAAGGAGAAGACCAUGCUGGUGCUGGCCCUGCUGCUGGCCAAGAAGGUGGCCAGUCACACACCGUCCUUGCUGCGUGAUGUCUUUCACACAACGGUGAAUUUUAUUAACCAGAACCUACGCACCUACGUGAGGAGCUUAGCCAGAAAUGGGAUGGACUGAACGGACAGUUCCAAAAGUGUGACUGGCU
rnacentral:sRNA from 1 species